AGUUUUUUUUUUUUUAAAUUUGCAGCUUUUGGCUGGUGCAGCCAAAUGGCAGAAGCUAAGCACACAGGCUGCAAGCAAUACACCAACGUCUUCAGAAUAGGACAGACUGGUAAAGGACCUUCUGGAACCAAAAGUGGCAAUAAUGGACGAGCCGCAAGCUUGAAUGACCUUGUUGGAGGGGAAGUCUCAAGCCUUCAAUUCAAAGAUCAAUGCACUUGACAGGGAUGAGAAAGAAUAUGAGAGCUCAAUGGUGAUGCCCGGUCACAUUUCCUGCUCUUGUCAACAAGGAGGACUCCAUCCUACAGAGAUUGUUGGGAUUUCUCAAGACUAAAUUCUAAUGUAAAUGCUAGCUCUGCAAGUGAUCACCUGAAAAUGGUCACAAUCUAUUCCAUGCUAAUACAGACGUCCUAUGGUGUGACUGCUGAGGAGAACUAAGUAAGAGAUGGCAAACACCUCCAUGAAUACUGUACUGCGUAAGAGACCUUUGACCUGAACACAGCAAGAUCCUUUCUGCAGAGAAGCAUGUAUUUCAUCAUUAGAAAGUAGAUGUGCUAACUUUACCUCUUACUUCCUAACACCACUGUGUUUAAAAAAUAAAAUACCUGGACUAUGAUCUGAGGAAAGAAGUAAAGAAAUGUAAUUUUCUCAACAAAGGAUGAGACUGUUACAAAUUUGGGGGUGGUGGAAAAGGUUUAUAACAUGACUAGUACUGCCUAGCAACAACAUAUUUACACCCUACAGGUUUCCUGUAGAAUAAAUGUUUACCCGCUUUAAAUCCUCU